UACGGAAGGGGCAAGCGUUGUUCGGAAUCAUUGGGCGUAAAGGGCGCGUAGGUGGUUCUGUAUGUCUACCGUGAAAGCGUACGGCUCAACCGUAUUUUGUCGGUGGAAACUGCAGGACUUGAGGCUGGGAGGGGCUGGUGGAAUCCCUGUGUAGCGGUGAAAUGCGUAGAGAUGGGGGAGAACACUCGUGGCGAAGGCGGCCAG
rnacentral:rRNA from 1 species